AUGGGAGAACAAGAGAACCAAGGAAAGCCAAAAGACCAUGAGCAAGUUUUCAGAAAGUUGCGACGCUUUGCCUGGAGAGCGCGAACACCAGAAAGAGCGGAACAAAACCCAAGGCGACGAAACUUUUUGGGAGGGAUGAAACAAACCGUGCUGCGCAAGAGGAGACAGGCAGGGACGGGCCCGACUCUACCCCUGUCCCCCCACCACCAGAAAGGCACUAAGAAGAACGAAGUCCCCCACAUAACGCGACACCCCCAGCCUGGCCGGGUGCUCCCGGGGCCGGGCGCUCAGCGGCAGCUGGACCCCCCCGGACCCCCCGGGACCCAGCGGAGCCCCCGGGCUCCGAGAAGUUUUUCCCCUCCUCAGCUUUCCUUUCCACCAGCUAUUCCAAAACGUCCCCCCAGCCCAGAAAGAAAUUCAAAAAGUAUUAAAAGAAGACAGGAGCGCCUGCGGAUGCACCUCUUUGUUUGGAUUCCCCCGACUGUCAGUGAGGACGAGGCGCUGGGUAGCUGGUUUCGGUCAGUUUGAUCUCCCGGAAUGAGACGGGCGAUGCAGGACGUAAAGGAAAAUAAGUUUAAAAAAAAAAAAAGGAAAGAAAGAAAAAAAGGAGAAAGAAAACCUCCGGAGUUGCGAAACGAACCCUUUCUGCAUGGACACGGGAAGUACAUAAAUAAACAACUAAAGGGGAAUUUGGGAAGACUGUUGCUUCUCCUCCUCCCUCUCCUUUGUACUUUUCCCGAGAUCGUAACACACCAAAAAAACAAAUAAACAAAUGAAAAAAUACCUCCCGUCGGCGGCUCCGUGCCACCGCCGCCGCGGCCAGCCCCUGGCAUCCCUACCUGUUGCGCAGAGCCGGGGCCGACCGCAUCCGUCCCAAAGAGCCCGGAGGGGUUGGAGGGGCUGCCCACGGCCCUUCACCUGCCCCCCGGCCGCCCCCACGGCGCCUCCCCCACGGGACCACCCCGCCGGCAGCCGUCGGGGUCCCCCCGAAAGUUUGGCGAGGCGGGGCGGGCUGGCCACGAGACAAAAGCAGCGCGGUGCGGAGCGGCAAGGCACCUCACGUCGGGGGGAGGUUGCCAGCCACCUUCCUCCUCCUCCUCCUCCUCGCCCCCGGGCCAGGGCACAGGGCCGUGCUGCUGGGGGGGGGGAGGGGAGGGAGGGCGCCCUUUGUCUGGUGCACGGGCUGGGUGUACCCCCCAUGCGCCCCCCAUGCGCCCCCCGCCCGUAGCCCCCAUCCCUCAGACCAGGCUGGCCAGGCCUGAAAGAUGCCCCACGGACAGCUCGCUUUUUUUUUUUUUUUUUUUUUUUUUUUUAAAAACAAAAGAGAGCUUGAGGAAGUGCCCGGGAAUUGGUAAUUAACGGCAGCACACACCCGCCACGGCAGAGCUUGGUUUGUCAAAGUUAGAAAACAGAGGAUGAUCUUGAGAUGUGUUCUUUAGAGGAGGGAAAAACAGGAUGGAAAGGGCACAGCGAGGCAAAACUAUUUAUCCUGUUGACACCUCCUACUCCCCUUGCUCAUCUGCAUCCCUUCCUCUCCCUUCAGUUCAUUCUAAUCUUGUGCUAGCAACCCACCUAGUCCUUCUUCCAGCUCCUUUUCUCCCUGUUUUUUUUCAUUUUUCAUUCAAACCCUUCACUCCUACCCGAUACAGUCAACCUCAAAGCCUUGUUCUUCAUAAUGCUUUAUAACUCCCCUCCCGGAAUCAAACCUUUUAUCUUCCUGCCCCAGAGAAAC
rnacentral:lncRNA from 1 species